rnacentral:lncRNA from 10 species
CAGGUGAGACAGUUGAGAAAAAGAGGAAAACUGGUUUUCCCUCUUUUCCGGUGUGUGUGUGUGUGUGUGCGUGUGAGAGAGAGAUUAGAGGGCGGGGAGGGGAGAAGAGAGGAAGCAAGCUAACCGGAGAGAGAGCAGCUUGAGCUGAGCUUUCACUCACCGUCCACCACUGCUGUUUGCUGCCAUCGCAGACUUGCCACUGACUUCCACCCCUCCAGAUCCAGCAGGGUGUCUGCUGCUCUCCUGAUCCAGCGAGGUGCUCAUUGCCACUCCUGAUCGGGCUAAAGGCUCUCUAUCGUUCCUGCACAGCUAAGUGCCCGGGUUUGUCCUAAUUGAGCUGAACACUAGUCUCUCGGUUCCAUGGUUCUCUUCCGUGACCCAUGGCUUCUAAUAGAGCUAUAACACUCACUGCAUGGCCCAAGGUUCCAUUCCUUGGAAUCCAUGAGUCCAAGAACCCCAGGUCAGAGAACAAAAGGCUUGCUGCCAUCUUGGGAGUGGCCCGCCACAUCUUGGGAGAGCUAAGAACAAAGACCUGCCCGUAACAUUUGGUGGUAACCGUAUGGGAAUUCUCCAAAGCAGUCAUGGGUUUUGAAAUCUCACGUUAUUUGACAACACCUUCAAGAGAAGAAGAGUUAUGCCUGACUACUACUGGCAUUGUAGAUGGCAGAAUAUCUCAGGGGUCUCACUGUUGCCCGGGCUGGAGUGCUGUGGCGUGAUCAUGGCUUGUGGCUCACCAGUCUCAAUCUCCUCAGGCUCAGAGAUGAGGUCUUGAACUCCUGGGCUUAAGAAAUCCACCCACCUCAGCCUCCCAAAGUGAUCACAGGCAUGAGCCACCUCUCCUGGCCCUGGGAAUAAAUCUUAACUUUGUCACUACCUUGGUCUACUUCUGACUCUCUUAGAAUAUUAAUUUCUUUUAUGUCAACUAAAGGUAAUAUACCUAUCUAGUAUGUUCCUGGCACACAGCAGAUACCUCACUAUACUUCCCAUUUCCUUCAUUUUAGGAAAAUUCUAAGACUAAAAUUAAGAUUCUUGUUCAACACAGUACCCUCACAGGUGAAGACACUGAAAAAAUAGAGAAGUAAAUAACUGGCACAAAGCAUAUUCACCAAGGAGAUGUCUGCCUCGUGACUGGUAUUCAAUUCUCUUGAUGUGGAAAUUGUUGAUCCCCCCAACAAUCACUUCUUGCUGUCUUGUGAAGCUAAAGCUUAGUCAUAAGAAGAAUCUAUCUUCUUUUGUGGAAAUCUUAUUUCUUAUAAAUUAUUCAGUCUCUCAUUCAGCCUAAUGAAGUAGUUGAAUUUCACAGAAACCGAGUGAGAGGUGAGUGGUUGCUCCAGAACAGCAGAAAAGCUAGUGGCAGUGGCUUGGAACACACCUUUCCUCAACACGAAGCCAAGGGUCAAAUGAAAGAAAAAAUGUGAAUACAUUUAUAUGUCUGGCCAGUGAUUAAAAAAAUGUUGCUCUUUUUAAUAUCUCAUCAACAUCAAUGAUUACAUUCUUUUCUGGUGCAAAUGUAGUAAGUGGUUAAUUUGAAAGUAUAAAAAUGUGUAAGGAAGAAAAAUAACCAAGAGUGAUACCAUUUAAACGAUAUUACUUAGCGCUGGUAUAUUUCUUUCUAUUUUCUUUUCCAUUAAGAUAUUUACCAAGCACAUUUGAAUGUAUAAUUUUAUAUUUUGCCAUUUAUCCUUAACAUUAUAACAGAGGCACACAAGGCGUUUUGCAUCUUGUUUUUUUUCCAUUUAUUGUGAUAUCUUUGACAUCUUGUCACAUUGGCAUAUGUAGACUUACCUCAUUCUUUUUAAUAGCUGUAUGGUAUGAACAUAACACAGUUUUUUUAAUGAACACAAUGUUAUUUCAUAGUCUUCUUUACCAUUGAGAUAUUUACCAAGCAUAUUUAAAUAUUUAAUUUUAUAUUUUUCCAUUUAUCCUUGAC